rnacentral:rRNA from 1 species
AUUGAACGCUGGCGGCAGGCCUAACACAUGCAAGUCGAGCGGAUGAAGGGAGCUUGCUCCUGGAUUCAGCGGCGGACGGGUGAGUAAUGCCUAGGAAUCUGCCUGGUAGUGGCGGAUAACGUCCGGAAACGGGCGCCAAUACCGCAUACGUCCUGAGGGAGAAAGUGGGGGAUCUUCGGACCUCACGCUAUCAGAUGAGCCUAGGCCGGAUUAGCUAGUUGGUGGGGUAAAGGCCUACCAAGGCGACGAUCCGUAACUGGUCUGAGAGGAUGAUCAGUCACACUGGAACUGAGACACGGUCCAGACUCCUACGGGAGGCAGCAGUGGGGAAUAUUGGACAAUGGGCGAAAGCCUGAUCCAGCCAUGCCGCGUGUGUGAAGAAGGUCUUCGGAUUGUAAAGCACUUUAAGUUGGGAGGAAGGGCAGUAAGUUAAUACCUUGCUGUUUUGACGUUACCAACAGAAUAAGCACCGGCUAACUUCGUG